rnacentral:rRNA from 1 species
UUGUCUUUUAAAUAAAGACUAGUAUGAACGGCUAAAUGAGGACAGAUCUGUCUCUUACAACUGACCAGUGAAACUGAUCUUCAAGUCCAAAAGCUUGAAUAAACACAUAAGACGAGAAGACCCUGUGGAGCUUCAAACCCAUACUAUAACAACCAAAAUAGCACCGGUUUUAAGUUGGGGCGACUUCGGAACACAACCUAACUUCCGAGCACAGGACCAUCAUACCCUCACCAAGACCGACAGGUCAAAGAAAAAUCCGACCCAGUCAUACUGACCAACGAACCAAGUUACCCCAGGGAUAACAGCGCUAUCUUCUUCAAGAGUCCCUAUCGACAAGAAGGUUUACGACCUCGAUGUUGGAUCAGGACACCCAAAUGGUGCAGCAACUAUUAAUGGUUCGUUUGUUCAACGAUU